rnacentral:rRNA from 1 species
UCCAGACUCCUACGGGAGGCAGCAGUGAGGAAUAUUGGUCAAUGGCCGGAAGGCUGAACCAGCCAAGCCGCGUGAAGGACGAAGGUGCCAAGCAUUGUAAACUUCUUUUGUCAAGGGACAAAAUCAGGCUCGAGAGCCUGACCGAGGGUACUUGAAGAAAAAGCAUCGGCUAACUCCGUGCCAGCAGCCGCGGUAAUACGGAGGAUGCGAGCGUUAUCCGGAUUUAUUGGGUUUAAAGGGUGCGUAGGCGGGCUGUAAAGUGAGGGGUCAAAUGUGGGGGCUCAACCCCGGCCUGCCGUUGAAACUGGCGGCCUCGAGUGGGCGAGAAGUAUGCGGAAUGCGUGGUGUAGCGGUGAAAUGCAUAGAUAUCACGCAGAACUCCGAUUGCGAAGGCAGCAUACCGGCGCUCAACUGACGCUCAUGCACGAAAGCGUGGGUAUCGAACAGGAUUAGAUACCCGCGUAC